AUGUGCUGCUCUCCUAAUAAAGGCCACACAAUUGCCUGCUUUCCCAAAAUGCUGGUUUGCAAACAGCUUAGUUUUCAUAUUUUCGACCUCUACCUAGAAAGGCACGAAAGACAGUUGGUGUCAGGAGCUGAACCUGCCUGCUUUCUGAAGACUUCUGUGACAACAAGGCACAUUUGCAGAAGUGCAUUCCAUUUCAAAGUAUCUGGGAUCUUAGUGUGGCUGCAAAGACACAAUACAAGAAUCUGAGAAUUGAAAGGAGAAUGAAAGUCUUCUGGACCAGUGAUUCCUAGGAUUUGGGAUUUCAUGGACUAAUAAAAAAAUUUUAAGGUAAGAUCUUUUAUGUACAUUGGCAAAUAAAGCAAUUAAAGAUAAACUAUUCACCACAAACAAAAUUAUACAAAAUAUUUUAAAA
rnacentral:lncRNA from 1 species